rfam:Streptococcus sobrinus W1703 genomic scaffold Scaffold594, whole genome shotgun sequence.
CAUCCUGUGCAACCGCACGAAAAUCGUUGGAGGCCUUGCAUAAAGGUCUCUUCUAAGUAAGAGUUCGGCUCUCACGAUUCUAGGCGAGUCUUCACAAGAAG